AAUCACGCUGCCUAACCCAAUUUCAUUAAAACUCGCGAGGCCCAACUCUCCCCUUGUUAUGUCGUUCGACAUUUUCAUCAUUUUCAUUUCUCAUCAGGAAAAUAAUUAGGGUUUCUCUUUCUCCAUCUUCCCUUCUCUUGUGCACACCAACACCAAUUGCGGCUGCAAAGCUUCGAUUUAAGUGUUUCUUGCAUUCAAAUUUUACCCCAUGCUGAACUAAAACAUCUGCUUGAGAUGGCUGGAACCGAGGUCCCCGGACAGCUCAAUUCAAGGACUGAUAAAGUUGGUGAGCAAUAGUGGAGGCUCUAGGUUCAGGCACCAAGUGAAAAAUUGUUAUGAUCUGUGCUGCUGCAUAUCAGAUUUAGUGGGAUAGAAAUGACAUUCUUUGGAAUAGUAAGAUACAUAUGGUGUCUAAACAAGUGUAUAUAAUUAAACCCACAAGUAUAGAUAGAAUUUAUAGUGUUUUACCAAAGAAAAUAUCUACGAGUGACAGAAUGUAGUUAAGAGAACUCAGGCAUACAAUGUGAUUAGGUUCUCUUGGUGUAGGUUGUAAAGUUUUUUGAUAUGAAUAUAACUCUUAAUUA